rnacentral:rRNA from 1 species
GACAGAGGGUGCAAGCGUUGUUCGGAAUUACUGGGCGUAAAGCGCGCGUAGGCGGCCGGGUAAGUCGGAUGUGAAAGCCCAUGGCUCAACCAUGGAAGCGCAUCCGAAACUACCUAGCUUGAGUCCCGGAGAGGGUGGUGGAAUUCCCAGUGUAGAGGUGAAAUUCGUAGAUAUUGGGAGGAACACCGGUGGCGAAGGCGGCCACCUGGACGGUGACUGACGCUGAGGUGCGAAAGCGUGGGGAUCAAACAGG